UACUUAGGGUGCGAGCGUUAAUCGGAAUUACUGGGCGUAAAGCGUGCGCAGGCGGUUUUGUAAGCCAGAUGUGAAAUCCCCGGGCUUAACCUGGGAAUGGCAUUUGGGACUGCAAGGCUGGAGUGUGGCAGAGGAGACUGGAAUUCCUGGUGUAGCAGUGAAAUGCGUAGAUAUCAGGAGGAAUACCGAUGGCGAAGGCAGGUCUCUGGGCUGACACUGACGCUCAUGCACGAAAGCGUGGGGAGCAAACAGG
rnacentral:rRNA from 1 species